rnacentral:rRNA from 1 species
AACGAACGCUGGCGGCAUGCCUAACACAUGCAAGUCGAACGAGACCUUCGGGUCUAGUGGCGCACGGGUGCGUAACGCGUGGGAACCUGCGUUUAGGUUCGGAAUAACUCCCCGAAAGGGGUGCUAAUAACGGAUAAUGUCUUCGGACCAAAGAUUUAUCGCCUUUGGAUGGGCCCGCGUUGGAUUAGCUAGUUGGUAGGGUAAAAGCCUACCAAGGCCACGAUCCAUAGCUGGUGUGAGAGGAUGAUCAGCCCGACUGGGAGUGAGACACGGCCCAGACUCCUGAGGGAAGCAGCAGUGGGGAAUAUUGGACAAUGGGCAAAAGCCUGAUCCGACAAUGCCGCGUGGGUGAUGAAGUCCUUAGGGUUGUAAAGCUCUUUUACCCGGGAUGAUAAUGACAGUACCAGGAGAAUAAGCUACGGCUAACUCCGUG